rnacentral:rRNA from 1 species
UCCGGCGCAAAGAGAGGCCCAAGUGAGAUUAGCUAGAUGGUGAGGUAAAGGCUCACCAUGGCGACGAUCUCUAGCUGUUCUGAGAGGAAGAUCAGCCACACUGGGACUGAGACACGGCCCAGACUCCUACGGGAGGCAGCAGUGGGGAAUAUUGCACAAUGGGGGAAACCCUGAUGCAGCCAUGCCGCGUGUGUGAAGAAGGCCUUCGGGUUGUAAAGCACUUUCAGUUGUGAGGAAAAGUUGGUAGUUAAUACCUGCCAGCCGUGACGUUAGCAACAGAAGAAGCACCGGCUAACUCCGUGCCAGCAGCCGCGGUAAUACGGAGGGUGCGAGCGUUAAUCGGAAUUACUGGGCGUAAAGCGCACGCAGGCGGUUUGUUAAGCUAGAUGUGAAAGCCCCGGGCUCAACCUGGGACGGUCAUUUAGAACUGGCAGACUAGAGUCUUGGAGAGGGGAGUGGAAUUCCAGGUGUAGCGGUGAAAUGCGUAGAUAUCUGGAGGAACAUCAGUGGCGAAGGCGACUCCCUGGCCAAAGACUGACGCUCAUGUGCGAAAGUGUGGGUAGCGAACAGGAUUAGAUACCCUGGUAGUCCACACCGUAAACGCUGUCUACUAGCUGUGUGUGAAUUUAAUUCGUGCGUAGCGAAGCUAACGCGCUAAGUAGACCGCCUGGGGAGUACGGCCGCAAGGUUAAAACUCAAAUGAAUUGACGGGGGCCCGCACAAGCGGUGGAGCAUGUGGUUUAAUUCGAUGCAACGCGAAGAACCUUACCUACACUUGACA